rnacentral:piRNA from 1 species
UGCUUUGUUAAACAGAUGCUUGAAGGCAG